UACGAAGGGGGCUAGCGUUGCUCGGAAUCACUGGGCGUAAAGCGCACGUAGGCGGCUUACUAAGUCAGGGGUGAAAUCCUGGAGCUCAACUCCAGAACUGCCUUUGAUACUGGUGAGCUUGAGUCCGGAAGAGGUGAGUGGAACUGCGAGUGUAGAGGUGAAAUUCGUAGAUAUUAGGAAGAACACCAGUGGCGAAGGCGGCUCACUGGCUCGGUACUGACGCUGAGGCGCGAAAGCUAGGGGAGCAAACGGG
rnacentral:rRNA from 1 species